rnacentral:tRNA from 1 species
GGGCCCGUAGCUCAGCUAGGUAGAGCAUCUGGCUUUUAACCAGGUGGCCGGGGGUUCGAAUCCCCCCGGGCCCG